UCUAGUGGUUAGAGUGUAGAGGAGGCAGGUAGCCUAGUGGUUAGAGUGUAGAGGAGGCAGGUAGCCUAGUGGUUAGAGUGUAGAGGAGGCAGGUAGCCUAGUGGUUAGAGUGUAGAGGAGGCAGGUAGCCUAGUGGUUAGAGUGUAGAGGAGGUAGGUAGUCUAGUGGUUAGAGUGUAGAGGAGGCAGGUAGUCUAGUGGUUAGAGUGUAGAGGAGGCAGGUAGCCUAGUGGUUAGAGUGUAGAGGAGGCAGGUAGUCUAGUGGUUAGAGUGUAGAGGAGGCAGGUAGUCUAGUGGUUAGAGUGUAGAGGAGGUAGGUAGCCUAGUGGUUAGAGUGUAGAGGAGGCAGGUAGUCUAGUGGUUAGAGUGUAGAGGAGGCAGGUAGCCUAGUGGUUAGAGUGUAGAGGAGGCAGGUAGCCUAGUGGUUAGAGUGUAGAGGAGGUAGGUAGCCUAGUGGUUAGAGUGUAGAGGAGGCAGGUAGCCUAGUGGUUAGAGUGUAGAGGUGGCAGGUAGCCUAGUGGUUAGAGUGUAGAGGUGGCAGGUAGCCUAGUGGUUAGAGUGUAGAGGAGGCAGGUAGCCUAGUGGUUAGAGUGUAGAGGAGGCAGGUAGCCUAGUGGUUAGAGUGUAGAGGAGGCAGGUAGCCUAGUGGUUAGAGUGUAGAGGAGGCAGGUAGCCUAGUGGUUAGAGUGUAGAGGAGGCAGGUAGUCUAGUGGUUAGAGUGUAGAGGAGGUAGGUAGCCUAGUGGUUAGAGUGUAGAGGAGGUAGGUAGCCUAGUGGUUAGAGUGUAGAGGAGGCAGGUAGCCUAGUGGUUAGAGUGUAGAGGAGGCAGGUAGCCUAGUGGUUAGAGUGUAGAGGAGGUAGGUAGCCUAGUGGUUAGAGUGUAGAGGAGGCAGGUAGACUAGUGGUUAGAGUGUAGAGGAGACAGGUAGCCUAGUGGUUAGAGUGUAGAGGAGGCAGGUAGACUAGUGGUUAGAGUGUAGAGGGGGCAGGUAGCCUAGUGGUUAGAGUGUAGAGGGGGCAGGUAGCCUAGUGGUUAGAGUGUAGAGGAGGCAGGUAGUCUAGUGGUUAGAGUGUAGAGGUGGCAGGUAGUCUAGUGGUUAGAGUGUAGAGGAGGUAGGUAGCCUAGUGGUUAGAGUGUAGAGGAGGUAGGUAGCCUAGUGGUUAGAGUGUAGAGGAGGUAGGUAGCCUAGUGGUUAGAGUGUAGAGGAGGCUGGUAGCCUAGUGGUUAGAGUGUAGAGGAGGCUGGUAGCCUAGUGGUUAGAGUGUAGAGGAGGCAGGUAGACUAGUGGUUAGAGUAUAGAGGAGGUAGGGUAGACUAGUGGUUAGAGUGUAGAGGAGGUAGGGUAGCCUUGUGGUUAGAGUGUAGAGGAGGCAGGUAGACUAGUGGUUAGAGUAUAGAGGAGGUAGGGUAGCCUAGUGGUUAGAGUGUAGAGGAGGCAGGUAGUCUAGUGGUUAGAGUGUAGAGGUGGUAGGUAGUCUAGUGGUUAGAGUGUAGAGGAGGUAGGUAGUCUAGUGGUUUGAGUGUAGAGGAGGCAGGUAGUCUAGUGGUUAGAGUGUAGAGGAGGCAGGUAGUCUAGUGGUUAGAGUGUAGAGGAGGCAGGUAGUCUAGUGGUUAGAGUGUAGAGGAGGCAGGUAGUCUAGUGGUUAGAGUGUAGAGGAGGUAGGGUAGCCUUGUGGUUAGAGUGUAGAGGAGGUAGGGUAGCCUAGUGGUUAGAGUGUAGAGGCGGCAGGUAGUCUAGUGGUUAGAGUGUAGAGGUGGUAGGUAGCCUAGUGGUUAGAGUGUAGAGGAGGCAGGAAGUCUAGUGGUUAGAGUGUAGAGGAGGCAGGUAGUCUAGUGGUUAGAGUGUAGAGGAGGCAGGAAGCCUAGUGGUUAGAGUGUAGAGGAGGCAGGUAGUCUAGUGGUUAGAGUGUAGAGGAGGCAGGAAGCCUAGUGGUUAGAGUGUAGAGGAGGCAGGUAGUCUAGUGGUUAGAGUGUAGAGGCGGCAGGUAGUCUAGUGGUUAGAGUGUAGAGGUGGCAGGUAGCCUAGUGGUUAGAGUGUAGAGGAGGCAGGUAGUCUAGUGGUUAGAGUGUAGAGGAGGCUGGUAGUCCAGUGGUUAGAGGGGGCAGGUAGCCUAGUGGUUAGAGUGUAGAGGGAGGCAGGUAGCCUAGUGGUUAGAGUGUAGAGGUGGCAGGUAGCCUAGUGGUUAGAGUGUAGAGGGGGCAGGUAGGCUAGUGGUUAGAGUGUAGA